UGAUACGAGACACAAUUGUAGCGUAGUAAUGUCAUGGUCAAGUUCAUAGUGCAUUUAUACAUACAAUUACUUGUAUUUUUAUUGACUCUACAAUUCCGAGAUUCAGAGAGCACCGAAGAAAACUGGAUAAAAAACACAGAUACGGAAUCACAGAAUCAGGAAGGUUCUGAAGAUAAGUUAAACGUGACGGAUAACAAAGUGAUAUCCAAGUUCAGAGAGUUCCUGGAAGUUCAGAAGCAUAUUUGGUUUAACUGGGAGUUUUAUUUGAUAGAUUUGGGUUUGUUCACUUUGGCGUAUUUAAUAUACACAGGUUUUGUAGACUA